rnacentral:rRNA from 1 species
CCAAUGUGAACGUUACCAAACUGUUGCCUCGGCGGGAUCUCUGCCCCGGGUGCGUCGCAGCCCCGGACCAAGGCGCCCGCCGGAGGACCAACCAAAACUCUUAUUGUAUACCCCCUCGCGGGUUUUUUUAUAAUCUGAGCCUUCUCGGCGCCUCUCGUAGGCGUUUCGAAAAUGAAUCAAAACUUUCAACAACGGAUCUCUUGGUUCUGGCAUCGAUGAAGAACGCAGCGAAAUGCGAUAAGUAAUGUGAAUUGCAGAAUUCAGUGAAUCAUCGAAUCUUUGAACGCACAUUGCGCCCGCCAGUAUUCUGGCGGGCAUGCCUGUCCGAGCGUCAUUUCAACCCUCGAACCCCUCCGGGGGGUCGGCGUUGGGGAUCGGCCCUGCCUUGGCGGUGGCCGUCUCCGAAAUACAGUGGCGGUCUCGCCGCAGCCUCUCCUGCGCAGUAGUUUGCACACUCGCAUCGGGAGCGCGGCGCGUCCACAGCCGUUAAACACCCAACUUCUGAAAUGUUGACCUCGGAUCAGGUAGGAAUACCCGCUGAACUUAAGCAUAUCAAAAGCCGGAGGAA